UACGGGAGGCAGCAGUGGGGAAUAUUGCACAAUGGGCGCAAGCCUGAUGCAGCCAUGCCGCGUGUAUGAAAAAGGCCUUCGGGUUGUAAAGUACUUUCAGUCGUGAGGAAGGUGUUAAGGUUAAUAACCUUAGCAAUUGACGUUAGCGACAGAAGAAGCACCGGCUAACUCCGUGCCAGCAGCCGCGGUAAUACGGAGGGUGCGAGCGUUAAUCGGAAUUACUGGGCGUAAAGGGCACGCAGGCGGUUAAUUAAGUUGGAUGUGAAUCCCCGGGCUUAACCUGGGAAUGGCAUUCAAGACUGGUUAGCUAGAGUCUUGUAGAGGGGGUAGAAUUCCAUGUGUAGCGGUGAAAUGCGUAGAGAUGUGGAGGAAUACCGGUGGCGAAGGCGGCCCCUGGACAAAGACUGACGCUCAUGUGCGAAAGCGUGGGGAGCGAAACAGGGAUUAGAUACC
rnacentral:rRNA from 1 species